UACGAAGGGGGCUAGCGUUGCUCGGAAUUACUGGGCGUAAAGGGCGCGUAGGCGGAUGUUUAAGUCGGGGGUGAAAGCCCAGGGCUCAACCCUGGAAUUGCCUUCGAUACUGGACAUCUUGAGUGCGGGAGAGGUGAGUGGAACUCCGAGUGUAGAGGUGAAAUUCGUAGAUAUUCGGAAGAACACCAGUGGCGAAGGCGACUCACUGGCCCGUUACUGACGCUGAUGCGCGAAAGCGUGGGGAG
rnacentral:rRNA from 1 species